rnacentral:rRNA from 1 species
UACGUAGGGUGCAAGCGUUAAUCGGAAUUACUGGGCGUAAAGCGUGCGCAGGCGGCUAUGCAAGACAGAUGUGAAAGCCCCGGGCUCGACCUGGGAAUUGCAUUCGAGACUGAAUAGCUAGGGUACGGUAGAGGGAAGUGGAAUUUCCGGUGUAGCGGUGAAAUGCGUAGAUAUCGGAAGGAACAUCAGUGGCGAAAGCGACUUCCUGGACCAGUACCGACGUUCAGGCACGAAAGCGUGGGGAGCAAACAGG